rnacentral:rRNA from 1 species
GUGUCAGCAGCCGCGGUAAGACGAACCGUGCGAACGUUGUUCGGAAUCACUGGGCUUAAAGGGCGCGUAGGCGGUCGAUCCAGUCGGGGGUGAAAUCUUGCGGCUUAACCGUAAAAGUGCCUUCGAUACUGAUCGACUCGAGGGAGGUAGGGGCAGGUGGAACUUCCAGUGGAGCGGUGAAAUGUGUUGAUAUUGGAAGGAACGCCGGUGGCGAAAGCGACCUGCUGGAUCUCUUCUGACGCUGAGGCGCGAAAGCUAGGGGAGCAAACGGGAUUAGAUACCCCGGUAGUCCUAGCCCUAAACGAUGAGUACUGAGUAGUGGACUUACAUGGGUUCACUGCUGAAGCAAAAGUGGUAAGUACUCCGCCUGGGGAGUAUGGUCGCAAGGCUGAA